UACGUAGGGUGCGAGCGUUGUCCGGAAUUAUUGGGCGUAAAGGGCUCGUAGGCGGUUUGUCGCGUCGGGAGUGAAAUCAUCUGGCUUAACUGGGUGCUUGCUUUCGAUACGGGCAGACUAGAGGUAUGCAGGGGAGAACGGAAUUCCUGGUGUAGCGGUGAAAUGCGCAGAUAUCAGGAGGAACACCGGUGGCGAAGGCGGUUCUCUGGAACGGUACUGACGCUGAGACGCGAAAGCGUGGGGAGCGAACAGG
rnacentral:rRNA from 1 species